rnacentral:rRNA from 1 species
GACGACGCUGGCGGCGUGCUUAACACAUGCAAGUCGAACGAGUGGCGAACGGGUGAGUAAUGUCUGGGAAACUGCCCGAUGGAGGGGGAUAACUACUGGAAACGGUAGCUAAUACCGCAUACCAGCGGAUGGGCCCAGAGGGGAUUGGCUAGUAGGUGGGGUAACGGCUCACCUAGGCGAAGAUCCCUAGCUGGUCUGAGAGGCUGACCAGCCACACUGGAACUGAGACACGGUCCAGACUCCUACGGUAGGCAGCAGGGGGGAAUAUUGCACAAUGGGCGCAAGCCUGAUGCAGCCAUGCCGCGUGUAUGAAGAAGGCCUUAGGGUUGUAAAGUACUUUCAGCGAGGAGGCGUUACUCGCAGAAGAAGCACCGGCUAACUCCGUGCCAACAGCCGCGGUAAUUC